rnacentral:misc_RNA from 1 species
AACAUCGCGCACCUGCGGGAACCUGCGGAGGGAUCAUUACUGAGUCACGUGCUCAAACAACCCUUCUGUGGACCUGAAAUAAAACCGUUGCCUCGGCGGGCGGUCCCCCCCAAACCAACCCCACGUGGUGGGUUAGGGGAGACCAGACAGUCCGGUACGCUUAAGGCGUCCGGCGCCAGCCGCUGGCCCCAAACAAUUAAACUCUAGUAAUCUUUACCUUCUGAAUUUCAAUAUUUAAAA